AAUUGCAUUACACAACACCCUGGACAAGCCAGGUACUCAUUUAUCAACCAGAACGACGUAACCAGGUGGCGACGUAACCCUCGAAUGUCACUUAAGUCUUCUGUUGAGCGGCGUGCUCUACUGGAUGAGGCACAGGAGCUGGAGGCUGUUGGGAGCAACUGUAAUGAGCUCAUCGCUUGUCCCUGACCAACAAACAUAAGAAACCCCUGCCGGUGGUGGUUCACUGUCCAGCAGGCAUCAGGCGCACAAGUGUGAUGGAUUUGGCGCAGUGUCGGAUUGAGGCGCAGCAGCCUGUCAACCCCGUCGAGAUCAUCAGCUGCAUUUCCGACCAGUUGCCCAGGGCAUGUAGGCAGCAUCGGUUGAAAUCAUAAUGUUGUAAAUUAGUAAACGAUCAACUAUGGUUGCAGUGUGCUGAUCAUUUUCAGUAAAUUAGCUCACAAACUUGUUGUCAGAGUAUGGAGCAGCGGCGAUUCAUCUUCUUGCAAUUCAAUACAUUUAACUCUGUUAUUUUCAAGUUAAAUGAAUGUGUUAACAAGAUACCAAUUAAAAUCUGUAUCAAAUCCUUAUAUUAAUGUGUUCCGUGUAUCAGUCAAGGUGAUAAUUCCUUAUUUGUUUUUCUUUAUUUCUCUCAUAUUUUACUUGUGAGGUAAUCUACUACUAUCUUAGCAUUCACGUAGUUUACUCUCACUCGAUUUUCUCUCUAGAUUUACUCAUAUGAUUUGUUGUAAAUAAGCUUAUGUGUUAACUUGAACCUGCCAUUUCAAAAAUGGCAAUGGCUUUAAUCUGCUAAAUUAACGGUGGUGUGAUUUAUUGUGAUGGCUAUCCUAAAAUUGACAUAAAUGAGAAACUAGAUAUCCCUGGAUCGCAGCGAUUGGCCGAGACUCCGCGCAGCCAUAGGCUUUAUUCUUUUAGUUUGUUAAAUUGCUUUGGACGAAUUUUUUUUUAAGAUUGUACGCCUGCGCCAUGGUUGGGGAUUGAUAUCAGGUAAACUGAUAACGAUCAAUUGAAUGGAAUAAAUGGAUUAUUCAGUAAAAUUUUUAGGGCGAUUGUCGUGUCUUUUCAACGCGUUGUUCUGGAAUUAUGAAUUCAAGUGUUUGUGCGAACGAGAUUGGAAACGAUGUUCAAACAAAUCGACGUUUAAAUAA